AAUAGAUUUUUGGACACGAAAGGUUAAAACAAAGCCUAAUAUUUUGAGCGCAACUUGCUCCAUUCAUGUAUU
ensembl:ncRNA T12A2.20 ncRNA